rnacentral:lncRNA from 1 species
CCCCUUUAACAUUUUCUCUUGAUUAUGAAACACUUUUAAAAUUCUUCUGCACAUUAUUUUGGUGGGUCACAAGAAAAAUAGGUCUUGGGAGUUGUUGAGCGUUCAGGACUACCAAACUUGGCAUUCCUCAGUGGUUACUCAAUUUGGAAAUAUCUCAGUUGAGUUAAACUUCAACCAGCCCCAGUGACUAGUUUAUACACCGUAAAACUUUGUGGAGUAUUUUGUAUCAGCAAAUACCACCAGCCCAGAACCCUGGAGCCUGCAUUGCCUUUGUUAUUCAGACAUAACAGGGUGUUUUUAUCUCUUAAGUAUUUCAGACAUGUUCCUCUGAUUUGAAGGUUUUGCAUAUUACCCAAGGACUUUUGUAUCUAAACUAUGUUAAAGACACAUAGAAAAGGAAUGACGUCAUGGCUUUUGUCAGCUGGGCUUUGUGUUUAGCUAACGCCGGUGAGUCAUAGUCUUGUGACCAGCCAGGCACCUUUCCAAGCAGAGGCUGUUAAGUUCGUUGACAACAGAACCUGUAGAUGUUUUGAAGAGGAGAUUUCAACAAGGGACCUGCCUGCUUGGUCAUACCAGAGGCAGCUCCCUCAGUCUGUGAGAAUUGCUGACUUCAGAUACCCCUCAGAAGAAAUGGCUGUAUUGCAUAAACAUGUGUCCUGAGGACUGAACUCCCCGCCCCCAUUUAGUGAAGUAUGGCACUAAUGCCACCUGGAGGACGAACACAGACCAAAAAGGCUGCUGGAGGAAGCUCAGAAGGGUGUGCUGGAGAUACACUUACCAUUGGUAGCCAGAGAGGGUAGAAGCACACAGAGCUGUGGAAUUUUCAGUUAUGUCAUGUUGACAAACUGACUCAGCAGGAGGUGCCUACAUGGGAAAGAGAGUCCAUCUUCUCUGAAGCCCCCUCAAGGACAUGAUGGGAAAAUCAGGAAACUUCUGCCUCCCUGACUUGCUGGGAUUUGCUGUAUUCCCCUGGGCACUGAUCAGGCUGCAUUCCUCAAGCUCCGAGACAGUGGUAUGGCUCCACAGUUGGAAUCUGAAAGUCUCAUUGAUCAUCAGUGAAUGCAGUAGCUGGGAUCACAGGAGAAUGCUGCCCCUGUUUACCUCUCACAGAGCUGUUUAUAAAUUGGACACCUGUAAUUAGAUCUGCCUUACACAGGGAGCAUUAGGAGGAAAAACAGUCUCUUGAUUAGCUCUGAUGAAGACUCAAAAUUCAUACCCUGAGGUGCUCACCCCUACUUAUCUGUAGCUGGAAAUGAAGUCUUUGGGAAGACAGCAAAAUAAAGUUCAAAUGCAGUUGUAAAAAUGAAGCCUUUAUCCAAUAGGACUUGGGUCCACCAAAUGGCUCUCCUCCUCCUUGUAAACAGAGGGAAGGCCUUGUGAGGAAGAGAAGACAUCUACCCUGUUAGCAACUUGACUCUGGAUAUCAACAAUCUAGAACUCUGAGAAAAUAAGUUUCCGUUGAGGCAGGCAAGCAAGGAGGCAUAUAAUACCCUGGUGUCUCCAUUAGAUUUUGGGGUUAUAUGUUCCCUUCUCCCACAAUAAAGCCCUUGACAGACUAGUAUCUUCACCCACAGCUAUUCCGAAUAUGCACCCCUCUCCAAACAAUGCACCUAGCAAACUCAGAGCCCCUCAAACCCACAUAUGCGUUCGUCUCUAAACCAGUGGUUCUCAACGUUCCUAAUGCUAUGACCCUUUCCUUGCAGUUCCUCGUGUUGUGGUGACCCCAACCAUAAAAUUAUUUUUGUUGCUACUUCAUAAGUGUAAUUUUGCUACUGUUAUGGAUUGUAAUGUAAACCUCUGUGCUUUCUGAUGUUCUCAGGUGACCCCUGUGAAAAGGUCAAUUUACCCCAAAGGAGUUGUGACUCACAGGUUGAGAACCAACUCUAAGUGUUCCCAUCUUUGAACAAUGAUAUGCCUUUUCCAUCCCUGGUAGCAAUCAAAUUUAUACAGUUUCUGAUUAAGUAUAUUCCUGACACAUCUGGGUAUAAAGAGUAGAUGGGCCUGAACUGGUUUGUGUGCAUGUGCAGCAAAGCAAAAUUGUGUCCUCUAAUAACUUUCUGGGGAGAACCCUGUUUAUCAUCUUAUGCCUAGGUAUAACUGGGAGUGCACAUGAUUUAAAUCGGGGUCUACAUAACAGUAGAGCAAUGGUUAUGUAAUCCAUCAGUCAAAAUAAAGAGCUAUCUAAGCUGGGCGUUGGUGGCACAUGCCUUUAUUUCCAGCACUCUGGAGGCAGAGGCAGGUGGAUCUCUGUGAGUUUGAGACCAGCCUAGUCUACAAGAGCUAGUUCCAGGACAGUCUCCAAAGCCACAGAGAAACCCUGUCUCAAACAACCAAAAAAAAAAAAAAAAAAAAAAAAAGACUCAUCUAAACUAAAACUAUGUCCUUGUCCUUUUGAAACUGGCUGCUCUUUCUCUCAGACCCCAUAAAUAAAGACCCUAGGCUAUAUGUAUCUUGCUUGGGUUUUUGAGUAUUUUCCUGUAUGUGGUUCACUGUCAAUCAAUCAUGAUAGUUACCUCUCUUUCAUCUGUACUGUUACUUUGCUCCACAUGAAAUUAUCUUGCUUUAAUAGGAAGACUUGGUGGACUUUGCAGAGCCCCAGUUGAGGGCACUACCCUGCCUGGGGAGUGGUGGGUGGAUG